rnacentral:lncRNA from 1 species
CACACAUUCUCCAUUCGUUGUUUUUCUUGCGAACAAGCACAGGAUUGGCGAGCCAGUCAGGAUGGAAGACUUCCUUGAUGAAUCCUGCCGCGAGUAGCUUGGCUAACUCUUUUUUGAUGGCGUCGCGUCUGUCCUGAGCGAAACGGCGUAGUCGUUGCCGUUUUGGAGUAGCUUUGGGAUCAACAUUAAGGGAGUGCUCGAUCAGUUCC